UACGGGGGGGGCAAGCGUUGUUCGGAAUUACUGGGCGUAACGGGCUCGUAGGCGGCCAACUAAGUCGGACGUGAAAUCCCUCGGCUUAACCGGGGAACUGCGUCCGAUACUGGAUGGCUUGAGUAUGGGAGAGGGAUGCGGAAUUCCAGGUGUAGCGGUGAAAUGCGUAGAUAUCUGGAGGAACACCGGUGGCGAAGGCGGCAUCCUGGACCAUUACUGACGCUGAGGAGCGAAAGCCAGGGGAGCAAACGGG
rnacentral:rRNA from 1 species